rnacentral:tRNA from 1 species
GCCGACAUGGCAUAGUGGUUUGAGUGCUGGAUUAUGACUCUGGAGACCAGGGUUCGAAUCCCAGCUCCGCCA